rnacentral:misc_RNA from 1 species
GAUGAAGAACGGAGCGAAAUGCGAUAAGUAAUGUGAAUUGCAGAAUUCAGUGAAUCAUCGAAUCUUUGAACGCACAUUGCGCCCGCCAGUAUUCUGGCGGGCAUGCCUGUCUGAGCGUCAUUUCAACCCUCAUGCCCCUAGGUCGUGGUGUUGGGGAUCGGCCAAAGCCCGCGAGGGACGGCCGGCCCCUAAAUCUAGUGGCGGACCCGUCGUGGCCUCCUCUGCGAAGUAGUGAUAUUCCGCAUCGGAGAGCGACGAGCCCCUGCCGUUAAACCCCCAACUUUCCAAGGUUGACCUCAGAUCAGGUAGGAAUACCCGCUGAACUUAAGCAUAUCAAUAAGCGGAGGA